GAUGAACGCUGGCGGCGUGCCUAAUACAUGCAAGUCGAGCGAACGGACGAGAAGCUUGCUUCUCUGAUGUUAGCGGCGGACGGGUGAGUAACACGUGGAUAACCUACCUAUAAGACUGGGAUAACUUCGGGAAACCGGAGCUAAUACCGGAUAAUAUUUUGAACCGCAUGGUUCAAAAGUGAAAGACGGUCUUGCUGUCACUUAUAGAUGGAUCCGCGCUGCAUUAGCUAGUUGGUAAGGUAACGGCUUACCAAGGCAACGAUGCAUAGCCGACCUGAGAGGGUGAUCGGCCACACUGGAACUGAGACACGGUCCAGACUCCUACGGGAGGCAGCAGUAGGGAAUCUUCCGCAAUGGGCGAAAGCCUGACGGAGCAACGCCGCGUGAGUGAUGAAGGUCUUCGGAUCGUAAAACUCUGUUAUUAGGGAAGAACAUAUGUGUAAGUAACUGUGCACAUCUUGACGGUACCUAAUCAGAAAGCCACGGCUAACUACGUGCCAGCAGCCGCGGUAAUACGUAGGUGGCAAGCGUUAUCCGGAAUUAUUGGGCGUAAAGCGCGCGUAGGCGGUUUUUUAAGUCUGAUGUGAAAGCCCACGGCUCAACCGUGGAGGGUCAUUGGAAACUGGAAAACUUGAGUGCAGAAGAGGAAAGUGGAAUUCCAUGUGUAGCGGUGAAAUGCGCAGAGAUAUGGAGGAACACCAGUGGCGAAGGCGACUUUCUGGUCUGUAACUGACGCUGAUGUGCGAAAGCGUGGGGAUCAAACAGGAUUAGAUACCCUGGUAGUCCACGCCGUAAACGAUGGGUGCUAAGUGUUAGGGGGUUUCCGCCCCUUAGUGCUGCAGCUAACGCAUUAAGCACUCCGCCUGGGGAGUACGACCGCAAGGUUGAAACUCAAAGGAAUUGACGGGGACCCGCACAAGCGGUGGAGCAUGUGGCUUAAUUCGAAGCAACGCGAAGAACCUUACCAAAUCUUGACAUCCUUUGACAACUCUAGAGAUAGAGCCUUCCCCUUCGGGGGACAAAGUGACAGGUGGUGCAUGGUUGUCGUCAGCUCGUGUCGUGAGAUGUUGGGUUAAGUCCCGCAACGAGCGCAACCCUUAAGCUUAGUUGCCAUCAUUAAGUUGGGCACUCUAAGUUGACUGCCGGUGACAAACCGGAGGAAGGUGGGGAUGACGUCAAAUCAUCAUGCCCCUUAUGAUUUGGGCUACACACGUGCUACAAUGGACAAUACAAAGGGCAGCGAAACCGCGAGGUCAAGCAAAUCCCAUAAAGUUGUUCUCAGUUCGGAUUGUAGUCUGCAACUCGACUACAUGAAGCUGGAAUCGCUAGUAAUCGUAGAUCAGCAUGCUACGGUGAAUACGUUCCCGGGUCU
rnacentral:rRNA from 1 species